AACGAACGCUGGCGGCAGGCUUAACACAUGCAAGUCGAGCGCAUCCUUCGGGGUGAGCGGCAGACGGGUGAGUAACGCGUGGGAACGUACCCUUUCCUACGGAAUAGCUCCGGGAAACUGGAAUUAAUACCGUAUACGCCCUUAGGGGGAAAGAUUUAUCGGGGAAGGAUCGGCCCGCGUUGGAUUAGCUAGUUGGUGGGGUAAAGGCCUACCAAGGCGACGAUCCAUAGCUGGUCUGAGAGGAUGAUCAGCCACAUUGGGACUGAGACACGGCCCAAACGCCUACGGGAGGCAUCAGUGGGGAAUAUUGGACAAUGGGCGCAAGCCUGAUCCAGCCAUGCCGCGUGAGUGAUGAAGGCCUUAGGGUUGUAAAGCUCUUUCAGUAGGGAAGAUAAUGACGGUACCUACAGAAGAAGCCCCGGCUAACUUCGUGCCAGCAGCCGCAGUAA
rnacentral:rRNA from 1 species